UACGUAGGGGGCUAGCGUUAUCCGGAAUCAUUGGGCGUAAAGCGCGUGUAGGCGGUCCGGUAAGUCCGCUGUGAAAGUCGGGGCUCAACCCUCGAAUGCCGGUGGAUACUGUCGGGCUAGAGUGCGGAAGAGGGCGAGUGGAAUUCCUGGUGAUAGUCGGUGAAAUGCGUAGAUAUCAGGAGGAAUACCGGUGGUGUAGACGGCUCUCUGGACCGCAACUGACGCUGAGACACGGAA
rnacentral:rRNA from 1 species